GACGAACGCUGGCGGCGCGCCUAACACAUGCAAGUCGAACGAGAGAUGAGGAGCUUGCUCUUCAAAUCGAGUGGCGAACGGGUGAGUAACGCGUGAGGAACCUGCCUCAAAGAGGGGGACAACAGUUGGAAACGACUGCUAAUACCGCAUAAGCCCACGGCUCGGCAUCGAGCAGAGGGAAAAGGAGCAAUCCGCUUUGAGAUGGCCUCGCGUCCGAUUAGCUAGUUGGUGAGGUAACGGCCCACCAAGGCGACGAUCGGUAGCCGGACUGAGAGGUUGAACGGCCACAUUGGGACUGAGACACGGCCCAGACUCCUAC
rnacentral:rRNA from 1 species